AGAGUUUGAUCCUGGCUCAGAACGAACGCUGGCGGCGUGCUUAACACAUGCAAGUCGAACGGGAUCCAGAGCUUGCUCUGGUGAGAGUGGCGCACGGGUGAGUAACGCGUGGAUAACCUGCCCUGGUAUCCGGAAUAACAUCUCGAAAGGGGUGCUAAUACCGGAUAAGCCUACGGAGCCCUCGGUCUCUGCAGGAAAAGGUGGCCUCUAUUUAUAAGCUACCGUAUCAGGAUGGGUCCGCGUACCAUUAGCUAGUUGGUGGGGUAAUGGCCUACCAAGGCGACGAUGGUUAGCUGGUCUGAGAGGAUGAUCAGCCACACUGGAACUGAGACACGGUCCAGACUCCUACGGGAGGCAGCAGUGGGGAAUUUUGCGCAAUGGGGGAAACCCUGACGCAGCAACGCCGCGUGAGUGAUGAAGGCUUUCGGGUCGUAAAGCUCUGACAGAGGGGAAGAAAUGAGAUUGGCUAAUAUCCAAUUUUCUUGACGGUACCCUCAAAGGAAGCACCGGCUAACUCCGUGCCAGCCGCCGCGGUAAUUC
rnacentral:rRNA from 1 species